GACGAACGCUGGCGGCGUGCUUAACACAUGCAAGUCGAACGAAGUGGCGAACGGGUGAGUAACGCGUAAUCAACCUGCCCUUCAGAGGGGAACAACAGUUGGAAACGAAUGCUAAUACAGCAUACUGAAGGAGGGGAUUGCGGCUGAUUAGCUAGUUGGAGGGGUAACGGCCCACCAAGGCGAUGAUCAGUAGGCGGUCUGAGAGGAGGGACGGCCAGAUUGGGACUGAGACACCGCACAGACUCCUAAGGGGGGCAGGAGUGGGGAAUCUUCCGCAAUGGACGAAAGUCUGACGGAGCAACGCCGCGUGAGGGAUGACGGCCUUCGGGUGGUAAAGCUCUGUUAAUCGGGACGCGGUACCGGAAUAGAAAGCCACGGCUAACUACGUGCCAGCCGCCGCGGUAAUUC
rnacentral:rRNA from 1 species